rnacentral:rRNA from 1 species
UGAGUACGAGAUGCUACGGCAUCGAAGCAGUCUAUGUCAUACUUCCAAGAAAAGCUUGCAAUGUCAUAAACAAAUAAUGCCUGUACCAUAACCGACACAGGUGGGUAGGUAGAGUAUACUAAGGGGCGCGAGAUAACUCUCUCUAAGGAACUCGGCAAAAUGACUCCGUAACUUCGGGAGAAGGAGUGCCUUAUUUUUAUAAGGUUGCAAUAACAAGAUCCAAGCAACUGUUUACCAAAAACACAGGUCUCCGCUAAGUCGUAAGACGAUGUAUGGGGGCUGACGCCUGCCCAGUGCCAGAAGGUUAAAGAAGUUGGUUAGCAUUAGCGAAGCUGAUAACUGAAGCCCUGGUGAACGGCGGCCGUAACAAUAACGGUCCUAAGGUAGCGAAAUUCCUUGUCGGGUAAGUUCCGACCCGCACGAAAGGCGUAAUGAUUUGGAUACUGUCUCGGAGAGGGGCUCGGUGAAAUAGACUUGUCUGUGAAGAUGCGGACUACCUGCACCUGGACAGAAAGACCCUAUGAAGCUUUACUGUAACUUGAGAUUGAAAUUGGACUUUAUCUGCGCAGUAUAGGUGGGAGACGUUGAAAAUAUUCUUGCGGGAAUAUUGGAGUCAUCAGUGAGAUACCACUCUUAUAAUGUUAGAUUUCUAACUUUGUAUCAUUAUCUGGUCAAAGAACAGUUUCAGGCGGGCAGUUUGACUGGGGCGGUCGCCUCCCAAACGGUAACGGAGGCGCACAAAGGUUUCCUCUGAACGUGUAGAAAUCGUAUCUAGAGUGUAAAGGCAUAAGGAAGCUUGACUGUGAGACCUACAAGUCGAGCAGGGACGAAAGUCGGUCUUAGUGAUCUGACGGUGCUGAGUGGAAAGGCCGUCACUCAACGGAUAAAAGUUACUCUAGGAUAACAGGCUGAUCUCCCCCAAGAGUUCACAUCGACGGGGAGGUUUGGCACCUCGAUGUCGGCUCAUCGCAUCCUGGGGCGGUAGUACGUCCCAAGGGUUGGGCUGUUCGCCCAUGAAAGCGGUACGCGAGCUGGGUUCAGAACGUCGUGAGACAGUUCGGUCCAUAUCCGGUGUAGGCGUUAGAAUAUUGAGAGGAGCCUUCUUUAGUACGAGAGGACCGGGAAGGACAUACCUCUGGUGUACCAGUUAUCGUGCCAACGGUAAACGCUGGGUAGCCAUGUAUGGAGAGGAUAACCGCUGAAAGCAUCUAAGCGGGAAGCCCACCUCAAGAUAAG